CUCCCCUGCCGCCAUGUGAAGAUGUGCUUAUUUCUCCUUUGCCUUCCGCCAUGAUUGUACUCCUUCCAGGACGAGGAGGACAUGUUCAUGGUGGUGGACCUGCUCCUGGGAGGUGACCUGCGCUACCAUCUGCAGCAGAAUGUGCAUUUCACAGAGGGGACUGUGAAACUGUACAUCUGUGAGCUGGCACUGGCUCUGGAGUAUCUUCAGAGGUACCACAUCAUCCACAGAGACAUCAAGCCAGACAAUAUCCUGCUGGAUGAACACGGACAUGUUCACAUUACAGACUUCAACAUAGCGACGGUAGUGAAAGGAGCAGAAAGGGCUUCCUCCAUGGCUGGCACCAAGCCCUACAUGGAGGCCGUACGAAAUCCACUCGGCCACGCCCAUUGAUGAAAUCCUCAACAUGUUCAAGGUGGAGCGUGUCCACUACUCCUCCACGUGGUGCAAGGGGAUGGUGGCCCUGCUGAGGAAGCUCCUGACCAAGGAUCCUGAGAGCCGCCUGUCCAGCCUUCGUGACAUACAGAGCGUGCCCUACUUGGCCGACAUGAACUGGGACGCGGUGUUCGAGAAGGCACUGAUGCCCGGCUUUGUGCCCAAUAAAGGGAGGUUGAAUUGCGAUCCCACAUUUGAGCUUGAAGAGAUGAUUCUAGAAUCCAAGCCACUUCACAAAAAGAAGAAGCGGUUGGCAAAGAACAGAUCCAGGGAUGGCACGAAGGACAGCUGCCCGCUGAAUGGACACCUGCAGCAGUGUUUGGAGACUGUCCGGAAGGAAUUCAUCAUAUUCAACAGAGAGAA
rnacentral:sRNA from 1 species